rnacentral:rRNA from 1 species
GACGAACGCUGGCGGCGUGCUUAACACAUGCAAGUCGAGCGGUAAGGCCUUUUCGGAGGUACACGAGCGGCGAACGGGUGAGUAACGCGUGGGUGACCUGCCCUUCACUCUGGGAUAAGCCUGGGAAACUGGGUCUAAUACCGGAUAUUCACUUCUCAUCGCAUGGUGGGUGGUGGAAAGUUUUUUCGGUGGGGGAUGGGCCCGCGGCCUAUCAGCUUGUUGGUGGGGUGAUGGCCUACCAAGGCGACGACGGGUAGCCGGCCUGAGAGGGCGACCGGCCACACUGGGACUGAGACCCGGCCCAGACUCCUACGGGAGGCAGCAGUGGGGAAUAUUGCGCAAUGGGCGGAAGCCUGACGCAGCGACGCCGCGUGGGGGACGACGGCCUUCGGGUUGUAAACCUUUUUCAGCACCGACGAAGCGAUCCUUUGGGGAGUGACGGUAGGUGCAGAAGAAGGACCGGCCAACUACGUGCCAGCCGCCGCAGUAAGAC